CAUGGGAAGCAGGGGCUGAGCCAUCACCCACAGGUGCAGAUUCUCUAGGUGAGAGUUACCAUCACGUGUGCCUGAAAUGUACCAAGAAAUGUUUUGCUGUUAAAAAAGGAAGUUACCUUAUCUCUGACCUUCUUAUUAAGUGAGCUAAUUAUUUCUUACUGUUUAAUGCCAUUUGAGUCCAGGUUGUUUCUUACUUAUAAUUGGAAAACUUGAAGGAUACUAAUGAGGUACAUGUAGAGAGAGGGAGGGAGGGGAAGAGAGAGAGAGAGAGAGAGAGAGAGAGAGAACGAGGCCUGAUUUGCAGAAGUGGGUAUUCGUUUGAUUUUUGCCCUUUCUAUAUUUUUUGUAUUUUUCUAUAUUUUCUGCAUUUUCUAUAACAAACUUAAAUUGUUGUUGUGAAUAAAGUGGAAAGGAAUUCUUAAAAACUAGGCAAAGGUGGGGUAAAUGUGUAGGUGCUGAUCUCAGACUCUUGGAAACCUCUGGAUGGAAGAUCAUUGAGAACUGGCGCUGCUCCAGGUAGUGAAGGGAAGGCUUCCAGGAGGAGCCAUAGGACAGAUUCUAGGACAGGGAGUGUCAGGGCCCUCAAUCCACUGUUCCUCAUGCGGCUGAGCACCUUCAGGACUGCACCAUCUCUUCCACACCCGAUGCUCUGCACAGAGAUCUGACAUUAAAUACGUGCAGCUGCCCUCAACGAUGUCACUGGGAAGGAAGAUGGUGGGAUGUUAGAAGGAAGGAGACCACCCGGGCGAGAGAGCUUGUGAUUGACAUUGCCCCAAGACUGCAAAGAGAGAAGUGAGCCUGUCUCUCAUGCUGCUGUCCACCCCUCUGCUCCACCUCAAAGCCUGAAGUCCGAAAGCAGCAGCUUUUCAGAGUAAAGUACCAUUAAGGCCAACUUGGUCCAAAUACGCACACAUAGCUUUGUGGAAAGGAUCAGCAUCAUGUCGUUAUUUGUUAUUUGCAUACUGUUCUUUGCCCUUAAGAAAAAUUCAGCAUUGCCCAAUAAAUCUGGGCACAGCAAAUAGCUCUUGGUUCCCACAGACAGAGGAACUUAAACCCACACUUCUUGUCCUGGAGCAGCGGAGGACACGACCGCGGGGUGACCUUUAAAAUGUAGGGCUUUCGUUAGGUUGACCUGAACGCUUGUCUUCCAAUUUGGGGCAGAAUAUUUGUAUAUUGAGAUCUUCGAAUUGUACCAGGACAGCAAGAAAGGGAGCAUCUAAUUUUCUCCCCCUCUAGGAAGGGUCCAGGCCAGGAGUGGCACAAUUUUUGUGCAAAGAAAAAGUUAGUAUUUUUGGCUUUGCAAACCCAACGGUCUCAAAAAGCUCAAAAUAAAUAAAUAAGUAAAUAAAAUCAGUCUAAAAUAGGUAUUGUUGUUACCUGUUGGGGGUUUCUGUAACUUCCUGAAGAGGAAUGAUCUUAUCAGGCCAUGCACAUUUUUUCUCAUUUCUUUAUUUUUUUGGUACUGGGGAAGGAAUCAAACUCGGAACCUUGUGCUUUUGAGGCAGGUGGCAGAACCACUGAGCUAAAUCCCAGCCCCAUGCACAUUUUAAGAAAUUAAAAUUA